UACGAAGGGGGCUAGCGUUGCUCGGAAUUACUGGGCGUAAAGGGCGCGUAGGCGGGUGUUUAAGUCAGGGGUGAAAUCCUGGAGCUCAACUCCAGAACUGCCUUUGAUACUGGUGAUCUUGAGUCCGGGAGAGGUGAGUGGAACUGCGAGUGUAGAGGUGAAAUUCGUAGAUAUUCGCAAGAACACCAGUGGCGAAGGCGGCUCACUGGCCCGGUACUGACGCUGAGGUGCGAAAGCGUGGGGAGCAAACAGG
rnacentral:rRNA from 1 species